AGCAAAGAAACUUGGGGCGAGAAAGGGAAAACCUCCUUCCCCCACUUUCUUUACUCCCACUUGUCUGUGCGGUCUGCGCCCACUGUUUACAACAGACCCUUGUAGGGAGCAGGGGACGGGGGGGCUGUGCCACUCGGCGCCAGCCCCGCGCCCAGCACCGGACCGCGGGAGAUGUGACUGUGGCUCGGGACAUGGGCCCGCUUGUUCGCUCACUCUCAGUGAAAAGAGUUUUGAAAUGAGUUCUGAAUAGACAGCAUUUUCUUUGUGCGGUUGGUAAAUAACACAGAGCAAAGUUAGCAAGUUGCUGCGCUUCUGCAUUCUGAUUCUAUGGAAGCUUUUUGUAGGGCGAAGGGCAGGAUGUUUUUAACAGAAUGUGACCUCACUGGAAUACUAGAGAAAGCAAUAAAAUUUCUGAAUGGGGCAAUGUGGAGAAAUCCUAAGAGAAAUAGCAUAAGAGCAUUUUGGAAUAUAUCCCGGAAAAGAUAACUUUCUACACAUCCGGUAGAGAUUCGCCAGGAAAAGAUUAGCCCUGAGCUGACAUCUGCUGCCAAGCCUCCUCUUUUUGCUGAGGAAGACUGGCCUUGAGGUAACAUCUGUGCCCAUCUUCCUUUACUUUAUAUGUGGGAUGCCUACCACAGCAUGGCUUGCCAAGCGGUGCAUAGGUCUGUAGCCAGGAUCCGAACUGGCGAACCCCAGGGCGCCGAAGCAGAACAUGCAAACUUAACCACUGUGCCACUGGGCCGGCCCCAAUAUUUUAUUUCUUAAUGUUUAAGAAAUAGGAUAUUCCCACCCCCAAAACACUUAGACAUAAAUGCAAUUGGGAAAUGGCACUAUUUUAGAGAGUGUAAAAUAACUAAAGGGAACGCUGAUGGAUUUCACUUAUAAAAAUCUAUACCAGAACUUAGAAGGAUUAAAUAUACACAGCAAAAUGUUAACACCAAAUUUACUAUAAUAAGAGUGAAAUACGAGGAACAACAUUUGGCACUCAGAGCUCUGCAAAGAUAGAGUUGAUUCCCUCGAUAGUCACUUGAGUGCAUCCUUGUCAGAGGUGUUUUGUGAAACUCACGUCUGGGUAAGUACUUGCCUUAGGUAACCGCAAUAUCUUCUAAUGUCAAUGGUUUAUGAAUCCGUCUUAACAUUUUUAGAAUAUUUAACUUUUUUUCUCUGCAAAGCGCAAAGUAGUUUAGAGCUAUCUAUGUAUCUACCUGGGAGAUACAACUGUUAGUUGUGACACUCCAAAGUGGAGCAUCUCAAGGCCGAGAAUGCAGAAGAAGCCUUUCACAGAAGCACUGGAGUCUCAAACAAUUUGGCUCAUAUAUUUGGGUUUCUGGGGACAAACCACAACUGGUACAAUAGCCUAAGCAGAGCAGUAAGAAAAGUUUUGGCCCCUUUUUUUUUUUUUUUAAAGAUUUUAUUUUUUCCUUUUUCUCCCCAAAGCCCCCCAGUACAUAGUUGUAUAUUCUUCGUUGUGGGUCCUUCUAGUUGUAGCAUGUGGGACGCUGCCUCAGCGUGGUCUGAUGAGCAGUGCCAUGUCCGCGCCCAGGAUUCGAACCAACGAAACACUGGGCCGCCUGCAGCGGAGCGCACAGACUUAACCACUCGGCCACGGGGCCAGCCCCAAGUUUUGGCCCCUUUUGAGAGUAGUUUUCUGGGAGACAGAGUCCCAUUUAAUGCCUCUUUUUUAAAUUGAAAUAUAUUUAACAUAUAACAUUGUAAAUUUAAGGUAUACAAUAUGUCAAUUUGACACAUUUAUAAAUUGUAACAUGAUUGUAUUUAACAUAUGACAUUGUAAAUUUAAGGUAUACAAUAUGUCAAUUUGACACAUUUAUAAAUUGUAACAUGAUUGUAAUUGCCUCUUUUAAGUGAUGUCUAGAGAUUGAAUAAAGUUAUUCCUGGGCGAGAAUGAGCAUGACACCUUCAGUAACUGAUGAGGAGCUAGCUAUACAGUCUGUACGUAAAGAGUAGCAGGUAAAGCAGAAGAGGUAGGCUGAGAUAAAAUUGAGACAGUCCAAGUAGUAUUAAGAAAUUUGGACUUAAUCCUACAGAUAGAAGAGACUUUUAAGCAGGGGAUGUAUUUGUUAGGCUAACACUAGCUGUAUGAGAAAUCUAGAGAGAAAUGAGCAAUGACACUAACACAAGAGCAGUUUAACUUUUGAUCAUGUAAAUAGUCUUAAAAGUUCUCUUUUUGUGAGGAGAGUUGGGGGCUUUGGUCCAUGCAGUCAUUCAGGACUCAGAUUGCCUGGGUCUCUGCCAUCUUCAACAUACGGCUUUCAAGGUCAUCUCUGUGCAGUUGGCAGAAGAGAGCAAAGCUUGGAGACUGAGCCUGGGAUAGUUUUACAGGCUGGACUGGAAGUGGCGAACACAUCAUGCUGCUGCGCUGCCUUGGCAGGAACAUACCUAACUGCAAAGGAAGGUCGGAGGCAUAGACUGGUUGUUUGUCCAGGAAGAAAAGGAAAGUCAUGAGGAUGGACAUAACUAGAUUUUCUUUAUAGGUGAAGAAUGCUGGAGGCAGGCAAAAGGAUGUCGUGGAAAGAGGCACGUUUCCUUGGGACUGUCAGAGAGAUUGGGUGCUACAAUAUGUCAGGAGCUCAGAUAAUGAAAGAUGAGAGCUUGGAGUAAGGCAUUGAAAAUAGGGUUGGAAAAGUACAAUUAAAGGAGUUUUUAAAUGGCUGUGAGUAGCUGUGGAAAUGGUAGAGGCCCUGUUGGAGCCUGGGGGUCCUGAAUGUGUGUAGAGCAAAUUGGAAGAAUGGAAACUAGUCAGCAAGAUGGACCAAUAGGACUAGAACUUUAAAAUCUGAACUUCCUGUUAAGACUUGAGAAAGUGUAUGUUUGGGAGUUAACCCAACACAGAACAAACAAUGAGAAUGAAAAAGUGCCUUGAAUCCUAGACCAGUGAAAUUGCUGAGUAUGCUCAUCAACCAAACUGCAUUUCCACAUUGUUGAGAGCCCUUACCCGUGCUGCAGACCAGAGUUGAAUUCCAAAAGAGAAGAGACCCACCAAAUAUGAUACAGCCCCCAAGUCACACCGUAUUUGUCAUCUUUGCCUCAUUUCAUAGGAUUAGGUCCAGAAUAAUCUGUGGUCAUGAUGUCUCUUCAGCAAAGUGUGAUCUGAAAACAUGUCCAACAUUUUAAAAGUCUUUGCCAGUGAUUUAUUUAGAUGUGUUUUCUCUAUUUCUCACCUCUUUAAAAAUCAGUGGCAGCAGCUGAGCAUCCAGAGCACCAUGUUGGCCUCACCUCCAAUCCCAGGAGAUUCAGAGUGUUGGCCAACAGGCUCGUUUGCUUUGCUUUAGCUGUUCUGAAACCAUCCUUCCUCUUUUGCUCUGUCUUUUCUUUUUGUUGUUUUAAAUGCUAACAGUUCAGUCAUGAAGACACUUAUUUCAAACACAUUCGCAGAACUAAAGGUAGAAACCACAGAGAAUCCUUUGUUUGAGACAUGGUGGUCUACUGUGUCAAGUCACAAAUAGAAGGAAACCUGGGAGUCAAAUUACCUGUGUAAAAAAUGUGGAUUUUCUCCUAAGUGGAAUCAUAAUAGGCCUGAUAUGCUUUUCUGUGAAGAGGGGAAUAAGCUAGUUAUAACUGAAUGUUUGUGUUCUUCCCCAAAUUGGUAUGUUGAAGCCGUAUCCCCAAUGUGUUGGUAUUUGGAGGUGGGGCCUUUGGGAGGUAAUUCAAUUCAGAUGAGGUCAUGAAGCUGGGGCCCCCAUGAUGGCAUUAGUGUCCUUAUAAGGUAAGGAAGAGACCAGAGCUCUCUCCUUCUACCAUGUGAGGACAUGGUGAGAAAACAGCCAUCUGCAAGCCAGGAAGAAAGUCCUCACUAGGAACCAAAACACCUUGACCUUUGACUUCCAAGCCUUCAGAACUGUGAGAAAUAAACGUCUGCUGCUUAAGCCACCCAGUUUGUGGUAUUUUGUUAUAGCAGCCUGAGCUGACUAAGACGCUGGUUUAAGCACAAAUCUAUCUAAAUAGAAUAAUUGCUGUGUGUGUGUCUGUGUGGAGGAGGAAGGAGCAUGCAGAGAAAUGAGAAAUUAAGGACCUGCACAAUUUGAAUGACUUUGCAUACGUCCAGUGUAUGCACAGUGCUGGCCUUUCAGCUGUGGGAAUGUGAUCUGGAACAAACAAGAGUGCUGGGAGAUGAAGCAGAUGAGCACAUUGCCAUGGCGACUCUUUUCAGGUCACCUAAGUCCAUGAUCCAAAGCCAUCAUUUCACCACACAUGUAAAGUAUGUAAAUGGAUCUUAACACAGAAUUUUUGCAGCUGGAUGAUGCUGCACGUCCCUUGUUGAAUGAAAACAAGGCGGUUAGAGUGUGCUAGCUAGCCACCAAGUGCAAGGACCGUAUGCAAUUCAGCUGCUUGGUGAUGAAGCAAAACUUUAUCUAGCGGAUGUCAAGGCCAUAUUGCAAAUGUAUAGAUAUGGACAUAAUAGACAUAGAGACAAAUAUAGAUACAGGUAUAGGCAUAGGUAUAGAUAAAGAUAAACAUACAAGUACAGAAAUAAGCAUAUAUACGCAAUGCUUGUCAGCAAAUAUUUUACCCCUCGCUAUAUUUUAAACUAUAUUUUAAUGUUCUUGUGGUUCCUAAGGAAGAGAGUCACCUGACAAAGGAAAGAUCUUUAAAAUUUCUUAAUGAUUCCAUCAAUUUUACAUGGAAAAAUCUUCAUUUUCCUAAAUGAUGACAGCUUUUUGAAAGUUUAGAGGAUACAACACUAAUUUCUUGUAAAAAUGACAAAGGAUAAGAGCAAUAAAAUUCAUUGAGAGUUUCCUCAUCAGAUCCGUGGUAGUUUUCACUGAUCAGAUAUGACGUGUAGGUAUCAGUGGAAUGGCGGUACUGUGUAGUGGUUAAGAGUGUGAGCCUGCAGGCAGACCACCUGAAUUUUAGUCCUAGUUCAGCAACUUUAUUAGCAGUAUGUACUUGAGAAGUCUAAUGAGAUUCUAGUGCCCCAGCUUCCAGAUUAAUCCAUGAAAAGCACUUAGUGCCUGCUGUAAGAUAAACACUAAGAUAAGUGUUAGCUACCAUUACUGUUGAUAAUAUCAUCAUCAUACUAGGAAUCAUUUGAGCUAGUAUGUAGCUGCCUUGGGGGCAUCUCAUCUCUCAUUUGUUAUCAAAAUGUCACUUGAUUCUAUAAUUUUCCUAAGAUCUGAUUCUAUUUUGCUACAUUUUAUUGGCUAUAAAUAUAUCUACUUUUGCGAAUAGUUAUAGGAAAUACCCAGAGUCCAUAUGUAGAGAUUAAAAAUGGAAAAUGUGAACUGGGUGGAAAUAUCGUUAUGACUGAGGCUGCUUGGUUUAUUCCCAGGCAGCAGGCAGACUUUAGGUGUGCUGCCUACACCUGAUCCUGACAGAGCAUGUUCACAAAUGUUGGCAUGAAAGAUGGAAGACCUAGAAGUCAAACCUAUCAUUCGGCCUCUGUGGCGUUACCGAACUUGAGAUCCAGCUGAUAUUUGCUACCAGAACCUGAAACACUUCAAAGGAAACCUUGCCUCUUAACUCUGUCCAGCUGUUACUGACUUCCUUGGGGAUGCUUUGAGCCACCAAGGCAGCCCAAACUGGAGAAAAUGAAUUCCCUGUCAGGCCACUCUAGCCAUACCUCAGCAGAUUUUAGGAGGGCAGCUACGAAGUAAGUAUGAACAGCACCACGACAGAUUCCGCAGCAGGUACUUGUAAAAUUUUAGAGAUGGAGGAUUUCUUUUUGCUUUCUCUAGAGGUUACACCAAUGUAGGGCCAUUUUCUGUGCCAGGUAGCAAUUAGCUUUUAAGGUUAAAAUGCUUUUAAACUGAGUUUUCAAAAUUCCAAAAUUAGCUAGCAUCAUGCUUAGUGGUGAGAGACUGAAUUAUUUCCCUCUAAGAUCAGGAACAAAACAAUGAUAUCUACUCUUGCCCUUCUUUUCUAUACUGGAGAUUCUAGCCAAGGCAACUAGGCAAUAAAAUGAAAUAAAAGUCAUCCAAAUUGAAAGGAAGUAGUAAAACUAUCUCCAUUUGUAGAUGACAUGGUAUUGUAUGUAGAUUUGUAUAUAGAAAAUACUAAGGAAUCCACUAAAAAACUAUUAGAGUUAAUAAACAGUAUCAGUAAGGUUUUGGGUUACAAAAAUAAACAUACAAAAAUCAAUUGUAUUUCUAGACAAUAGCAAUGAACAAACAAAACAUGAAAGUAAGAAAACAAUUUUACUUACAAUAGCAUCAAAAAGAAUAAAAUGCUUAUGAAUGAAUUUAGCAGGAGAAGCGUAAAACUUUGAACACUAUAACACACUGUUGAAAGAAAUUAAAGAAGGCCUAAAUAAAUGGAAAGACAAGUUCAUGGGUUACAGAUUUCACUACUGUUAAGAUGGCAAUACUAAUCAAAAUGAUCUUCAGAUUCAACACAUUGCUAUCAAAAUCCCAGCUGACUUCUUUGCAUAAAUUGACAAAUUGAUCCUAAAUUUCAUAUGGAAAUUCAAGGGACCCAUAAUUGACAAAACAAUCUUGAAAAAGAACAAAGUUGGAGGACUCAUACAUCCCAAUUUCAAAACUUACUCCAAAGCUACAGUAAUCAAGAUAGUGUGUCACUGACAUAAAGAUAGACAUAUAGAUCAAUGGGAUAGAAUCGAGAGUCCAAAAAUAAAUCCCCACCUGUAUGGUGAAUUGAUUUUUGACAAGGACGCCAAGACCAUUCAGUGGGGAAAGAAUAUUCUUUUCAACAAAGAUACUUAGACAACUGGAUAUUCACAUGCAAAAGAGUGUAGUUGGACCCCUACUUCACACCACAUGCAAAAAUUGAUUCAAAGUGGAUUAAAGACUUACCUGUAGGGGCUAAAAAUAUAAAACUUUUAGAAGAAAACAUAGAAGUAAUCUUUGUGCCCUUGAAUCUGGCAAUAGUUUCUUACAUAUGAUAUCCAACCACAAGCAAUCAAAGAAACACGUAGAUAAAUUGGACUUUAUCAAAAUUAAAAACGUUUGUGUUUUAAAGGACAAUGUCAAGAAAGCAAAAAGACCAUGCAUACAAUGGGAAAAAAGUUUUGCAAAUUAUAUGUCUGAUAAGGGACUUGUAUCUAGAAUACAUAUAUAAAGAAUUCCUACAACUCAAUAAUAAAAAGAUAAGCAACUCAGUUUCAAAAUAAGCAAAAGACCUGAAUAGACAGUUCUCCAAAAAAGAUAUGCAAAUAACCAAUAAGCACCUGAAAAGAUGCUCAGUAUCAUUAGUCACUAGGGAAAUGCAAAUCAAAACCUCUUCACAUGCCCUAGGAUGGCCAUAAUUGUAAAAAGAUGGACAAUAGCAAGUGUUGGUGAAGAUGCGGAAAAAUUAGAACCUUCAUACACUGCUGAUGGGAAUGUAAAAUGAUGCAGCUGCUUUGGAAAACAAUCUGGACAGUCCUCAAACAGUUAAACAUGGGAUUACCAAAUGACCCAGCAAUUCUACUCCUAGGUGUAUACCCAGGAGAAAUAAAAACAUAUUCCUGCACAAAUGUGUGUAUAUGAAUGUUUAUAGCAGCAUUAUUCAUAGAUGUCCAUCAGCUGGUGAAUGGAUAAAUGAAAUGUGGUAUAUCCAAAAAAUGAAAUAUCAUUUGGUAUUAAAGAGAAAUGUACUGAUACAUGCUACAGCAUAGAUGAACCUUGAAAAUAUUAUGCUAAGUGAAAGAUGUCUGUAACAAAGGACAAGAUAUUGUAUGAUUAUUAUGAAAUGUCCAAAAUAAGCAAAUUCGUAGAGUCAGAAAGUAGGUUAGUGGCUUCCUGGGCCUGAAGGAGGGGUUGACUGGCUCAGGGGCAGAGGUGGUAGUGUGGAUGGAGAAGACUGCUGAUGGUCAUGGCAUUUCUUUUCGGAGUGAUGAAAAUGUUCUAAAAUUGUGGUAAUGGUCACGCAACUAUGAAUAUACUAAAAAUCAUUAAAUUGUAUACUUUAAAUAGGUAAAUAAUGUGGUAUACCAUUUAUAUUUCAAUAAAGCUGUUAUUUUUAAAAUUUCUAAUAUGAGAUGAUUGCUUAUUUCAGUGUUAAUAAUAUCCAUUAAAGUCCCUGAAAUUGAUAGGUGACUGGUCUGUCAGUUAGAAAUCCGUGUUGUCACUACACUGUACCUGUGGCAGCAGCAUUUGCAUCUUGUAUGGGUAUAGUUGAUAGCUCAGUAAAGAGAUUCAUUUUAAAGAGCGGCAUUUAAGUCCUCUACACUCCCAGUGUGGAGACUUCUAGAUGGCACAUUCGCUGCUCCUGAUUUGUUCUUGCAUUGGAAUAUUAUCCUUAAAUAGCACAAUGAAAGUUUGCACUAGGUGAUUAUAUUAUUUACAAUGAUAAAUGUAUUGCAAAACGUUGAUGAAGUGAUGGCUCACAUGUUAGGAAGGAAAGUGAAUCUACACAUGCCCCUCACAUGAGAAAUGGGGCUAUUUUUAAAGUCAGGUUGAAAAGCUUUAAAUAUUGUACCCAAUUUAAGCAAGUAGUAGACUGCUUUCUUUAGACUUUCUGUAGACUUGCUUUCUGUAGACUUGGAGGACAUCAGUAUAACAGGCUAGAGGAAUCCUAUCCCUGUGCAGUGCUGUGAGUUCCUUGGCGUGAAUGCGCUGCGAAGGAAGGGUGGGGCAGCCAGAAAAGGCAAGAGGUGGGGCCUGUGGGAGGGUGGGGUGCCUCUUAUAAACCAAAACACUGUGAAAAAACAAUGAGGGGAAAGGAUCUCAAACAAUUUAUUUAGGUCCUUCAGGAAUAGAAGACUAAGAUCUUUUAUCUUGCAUUCCUCAUUCUGUACAGACGGCCUAGCACGGUGUCUUUGAGGUUUGUUGAAUGUUGAAAGGAUGUGAGAAGGUUUUAAUUCUUGAAAAUUUUUUGUCAGCUAUCCUCUUCUAAGGCAAUAAGUUCUUACAAAUUUCUUUUUUUCUUUUCUGUUAUAGACAAAGAGUCUAGUUUUCUCUUAUACAAUGAUACUGCCAUGAUGGUUUUUCUUAAAAGUAACGAAAAAUAAGUAGACUCAAACUUUUAAAAGUGUCGAUAUGUGGUUCACCUCUACAAACAA
rnacentral:lncRNA from 1 species